AGUGAACGCUGGCGGUAGGCCUAACACAUGCAAGUCGAACGGCAGCACAGUAAGAGCUUGCUCUUACGGGUGGCGAGUGGCGGACGGGUGAGGAAUAUAUCGGAAUCUACUUUUUCGUGGGGGAUAACGUAGGUAAACUUACGCCAAUACCGCAUACGACCUACGGGUGAAAGCAGGGGAUCUUCUGACCUUGCGCGAUUGAAUGAGCCGAUGUCGGAUUAGUUAGUUGGCGGGGUAAAGGCCCACCAAGGCGACGAUCGGUAGCUGGUCUGAGAGGAUGGUCAGCCACACUGGAACUGAGACACGGUCCAGACUCCUACGGGAGGCAGCAGUGGGGAAUAUUGGACAAUGGGCGCAAGCCUGAUCCAGCCAUACCGCGUGGGUGAAGAAGGCCUUCGGGUUGUAAAGCCCUUUUGUCGGGAAAGAAAAGCAGCAGGUUAAUACCCCGCUGUUCUGACGGUACCCAAAGAAUAAGCACCGGCUAACUUCGUG
rnacentral:rRNA from 1 species